UGUGCCAAGUCCUGCUGGAAAAUGAAAUCCACAUCUCCAUAAAAGUUGUCAGUAGCAGAGGGAAGCAUGAAGUGCUGUAAGAUUUUGUGGGAAAACAAAACUGCACUGACUUUAGACUUGAUAAUAAAACACAGUGGAUCAACACCAGCAGAUGACAUGUCUCUCCAAAGCAUCACUGAUCAUCAGUAAAUUUUACAUUUCAUUUGUAAAUCAAGGGAUCAGAGUCUGGAGGAAGAGUGGAGAGACACACAGUCCAAACUGCUUGAGGUCUAAUGUGAAGUUUCCACCAAUCAGUGAUGGUUUGGAGAGACAUGUGAUCUGCUGGUGUUGAUCCACUGUGUUUUAUUAUCAAGUCUAAAGUCAGUGCAGUUUUGUUUUCCCACAAAAUCUUACAGCACUUCAUGCUUCACUCUGCUGCUGACAACUUUAAUGGAGAUGAGGAUUUCAUUUUCUAGCAGGAUUUGGCACACUGCCCACACUGCCCAAAGUACCAAUUGGUCUUAUAUAAUAUUCUAAUUUUCGGAGACACUGAUUUUUGUUUUUUCUUUAGCUGUAAGCCAUAAUCAUCAACAAUUAAAGAAAUAAGCGCUUAAAAUAGAUCACUCUGUGUGUAAUACAUCUAUAAUAUGAGUUUCACAUUUUGAAAUGAAUUGCUCAAAUAUAGUAACUUUUCAAUGAUAUUCUAAUUUUUUGAGAUGCACCUGUAUGUGUUUUUAUUAGAGCUGUAAAUGUGUGCUUCAUGAAGGUGAGGCUUAACAUGGUAAGUACAUCACCACUAACAUUGAACAUGCAUGGUUUGUGCAUUUGCGCUUCUUACUGUAGUGUAGGCUCCAGAUUGGACCAGAACCAGUCUGGACCACACCCAAUGAGCAUACAGCUGCUCCUUGUUGAGCUGAAUGUAUUAGGAAAUACAUUGUUGGAGAUUACUCAAAGGACCCUCAUGAGAAAAUGCUAAUCCACAGUUUGCUCCAUGGGUUCUCUAAAUUCCAGAUGCCUUUAAAAGGACUGGUGUAGCAAGUACCCAAGCUGGGAACUCGCCAGGCUAUAGUUUUGUAGACAUUAGAAGACGUAUGAAAGUAAUUUGCAUUCAGGUUUUUUUUUAAUCUUGGUGCGAUUAGUUUCGGCAGGUGUAAAUAUAGUUAUCUUACAUUUUCACACAAUUAUCUGAACUUUCUACUCCUUACAUUUUAAUAAAAAACAGUCUCGUUACUCCUAUUUCAUUUCAGCUCGUUUUUAUUCCGGCUUCUCAUCGUUCAAUGAAACCCCUAUCCAGAUAAAUCUCUCCAUCCAGAUAGAGUGAAUCUGAUUGUGAUUGGAUGUAGAGAAGUAUAAACAUAUACCAUUCUGACUUCCUAUUGGUUUAUACUGUGAUCCAUCACACCUGCACACCUUAGUCAUUAUGGCUUUUAGAAAAAUGUGUUUUGGGAGGGGGGUCCUUAGCUUUUGUCCUUAAUAUCAUUUUUAAUAAUUAAUAAAAAAAAUAUGGUAAUUAUGGGAUGUAAUUUCUUUUGUGUCUGUGGGAGACUGGUGCUGUGAGUGUGUGUGGUUGGGGGUGGGGUUAGAGACACAACAAAGCAACAUGAUGUAGUAUUUUUUACUUUAAUAUAACAGCUUCCAUAUUAUUGUCAUGGUACAAUGACGUGUAAUUGUGCAUAGAUAGAUAGAUAGAUAGAUAGAUACUUCAUUGAUCCCGAAGGAAAUUUAGCAAUGCUGCAUGCUGCUAAAGAUCAAACCUGCAGACUACAGCGGAUGAUAGACAAACCAGUAUGUCUAUUAAAUGCAAUUGAACUGCAAGGUGAAAGUAAACGAUACUCUAUAGAAUGUACCCCUACAUCCAACACUAACCCAAACUCUUAUAUUAACAUUUAAUCUUAACUAAAUUCAGGGAUAGUUUUGCGUUUUAGAUUAAGGUUUGAGUUAGGGUUAAAUUUUAGGGUUAGAUUUAAGUUUAGGUAAAGGUUGGAGUUACAGUUAUGUUUUAAGGUUCGUUUUAGGUUUUGGAUUAAGGUUUGAGUUGAGGUUAGGGUUGGGUUUUAUGGUUAGUUUAAAUUUUAGAUUUAGCUUUGAUUUUGGGUUAGUUUUAAGUUUAAGACUAAGAUUUGAGUUAGGGUUAGGCUUAAGUUAUAGUCUAAGAUUUGCAAUAGGUUUUAGGGUUUAAUAUUGGUUUUAGAUCAAGUGUUGGGUUUUAUGGUUAGAUUAAAAUUUUACAUUAAGAUUUGAGUUUGGGUUGGUCUUAAAUUUUAGUUUAAGGUUUGAGUAAGGGUUAGUUUUUAGUUUUAGAUUAAGAUUUGAGUUAGGGUUAGGUUUAAGUUAUAGUCUAAGAUUCGGAGUAGGUUUUAGGGUUCGAUUUAGGUUUUAGAUUAAGGUUUGAGUUAGGGUUAGUUUUUAGUUUUAGAUUAAGGUUUGAGUUAGGGUUAGGUAAAUGUUUUUAUCAAUCAGCAUCAUUUACAUUCAUUUAAGAGUUAAGUUGCAGACACUCAUUUGCUCAUUUGAAUGUUAGUUGAGCAUCUAUGAGGCAUCUGUGGACCAUCCAAAUAAAGUGAUGCCGUUUUCUUUUUUUAGUUAUUUUUAUUUGUUGCUUUUUUUCUUCCAGAUUUACAGAAACACAAAUAAAGUCUGUCUUUUGGAGUAAACUUGAGUAUUUUAUGCAUACUUCUUCAGAUUUAUUGAUCUGGAAUGUCCUUUAAUAAGCUAAAUACACACUUAUGCACUAAUGGGAAAUUAAUGGCUUGAUUCAGCAUUUAACAGGCAGUCAACAAUUCCUACAGAUUAGCUAGUAAGCAGUUUAAUAUUUGCUGUUUAAUAUUUGCAGUACUCAAGAAUUCUCAUACGUAAGCUUAGUGCUUCACAUCUCCUGCCCUGCAUCCCAUUCAGCUGCUGCCAGUGUUUGGCUGUUUUUUCUUUUUCUGUUUUCUUUUUGUUUCAGUAAUAAAACUGAAUUGCAAUCACAA